rnacentral:rRNA from 1 species
UACGUAGGGGGCAAGCGUUAUCCGGAAUUAUUGGGCGUAAAGAGCUCGUAGGCGGUUUGUCGCGUCUGCCGUGAAAGUCCGGGGCUCAACUCCGGAUCUGCGGUGGGUACGGGCAGACUAGAGUGAUGUAGGGGAGACUGGAAUUCCUGGUGUAGCGGUGAAAUGCGCAGAUAUCAGGAGGAACACCGGUGGCGAAGGCGGGUCUCUGGGCAGUAACUGACGCUGAGGAGCGAAAGCGUGGGUAGCGAACAGG